UGAUGGCUGCUCUCUUGGUCAGCACAAGGUCUGAAGCAGGGUCCUCCAGAGCUCAAAGCAUGAGCUGCUACAUCCUGAGCAAAAGAGCAAAGCUCCGUGAUCAGCUUUGAGGACAACUUGGAACACACACUCACCAGUAGGUUAUACUCACACACAGAAUAUGGCAUCAGAAGUGAGUCAGCUCCUGAAGGACUCCUGUCUCAUUCCGUGGCCAGGAUGGAUCUGCUCUGGGGAUGAAUCAGUGUUGUGUAGUAAAGCAGACUGUUGACUGUA